GUAGGUGAACCUGCGGAAGGAUCAUUAACACGUAUCCAAACGUUAAAACCACACGUUCACGGGUCAACUCCUAGUAAAUCAUUGUCUAAAUCAGAUUUUGAGUUAGGGGCCUCCCUUCAGAGGUGCGGUCGAGCGGUUUAGCAUUAGAUACGUCCCGGCGCUCCCAAGUGGCUCCAUUGAUCUGAAAGUGUUCAUUUGGGUUACGUAAGAGUUGGCGCAGUAAACGAUCGUUGGGCCCACACGGCCCAGCGUCCGGGGCCUCUCCGCGGUUACAAUCGGCGGCAAGGGAUACGCACGGAGCUUAUCUCAAUGACGAGAGAGAGGGCCGGCGCCGAAAGGUUGUAAGCAUUUAAAAAACGAACAACUGUUAACAAUGGAUAUCUAGGUUCUC
rnacentral:misc_RNA from 1 species